rnacentral:misc_RNA from 1 species
GAUGAAGAACGUAGCGAAAUGCGAUAAGUAGUGUGAAUUGCAGAAUUCAGUGAAUCAUCGAAUCUUUGAACGCACAUUGCGCCCCUUGGUAUUCCAUGGGGCAUGCCUGUUCGAGCGUCAUUUGUACCUUCAAGCUUUGCUUGGUGUUGGGUGUUUGUCUCGCCUUUGCGUGUAGACUCGCCUUAAAAUAAUUGGCAGCCGGCGUAUUGAUUUCGGAGCGCAGUACAUCUCGCGCUUUGCACUCAUAACGACAGCGUCCAAAAGUACAUUUUACACUCUUGACCUCGGAUCAGGUAGGGAUACCCGCUGAACGUAAGCAUAUCAAUAAGGGAGGA